rnacentral:rRNA from 1 species
GUAGGGAAUCUUCCGCAAUGGACGAAAGUCUGACGGAGCAACACCGCGUGAACGAUGAAGGCUUUCGGGUCGUAAAACUCUGUUGUUAGGGAAGAACAAGUACGAGAGUAACUGCUCGUACCUUGACGGUACCUAACCAGAAAGCCACGGCUAACUACGUGCCAGCAGCCGCGGUAAUACGUAGGUGGCAAGCGUUGUCCGGAAUUAUUGGGCGUAAAGCGCGCGCAGGCGGUUCCUUAAGUCUGAUGUGAAAGCCCACGGCUCAACCGUGGAGGGUCAUUGGAAACUGGGGAACUUGAGUGCAGAAGAGAAGAGUGGGAUUCCACGUGUAGCGGUGAAAUGCGUAGAGAUGUGGAGGAACACCAGUGGCGAAGGCGACUCUUUGGCCUAUAACUGACGCUGAGGCGCGAAAGCGUGGGGAGCAAACAGGAUUAGAAACCCGUGUAGUCC